GUCACUUAGUGCCCCAGCCCUUUCCUCCUCCUCUUCCUCUUCGUCCACUUCAUCUCCUGUCCUGAGUGCCCCCCCUUACCCAGCUUCUACUCCUGGGGCCUCUCCCCGCCACCGUCGUGUGCCCCUCAGCCCCCUGAGCUUGCCUGCAGGCCCAGCCGACGCCAGAAGGUCCCAACAGCAGCUGCCCAAACAGUUUUCGCCAACAAUGUCACCCACCUUGUCUUCCAUCACUCAGGUAUGCGUGGCCACCUUCCCCACAUAUAUCUCCCUUCUUCUCCUUCCUGUGCCUGUCCUGUCUCAUCCAUCCCCUUCCAAUCCUCUGUCCUAUCCCAACCCAUCUCUAUCUAUCUCCCCUCCUUGCUGAAGAGAACAAACUCUGCCUUUGACCCUUUGGUUCACAUCAUCGUUCUGCCUCUUGAUGCUUGUCUUCCUUUACAAGUGAACGUCUCUGAGCCUCCUCAGUCUCAUGCAGACAACAAGGAUGGCUUUGUGAGCAUUGGAUACAGGAACGUACACUAAGUAGUUAGCAUCU
rnacentral:lncRNA from 1 species